UUAAGAGUGCAGUCUGCGGAUGUCAUGACCAUCCGACCAUUUGCAUACGCUCAAUCAGAAGUUAGUGUUGCUAGUGCGUAGAGCACUGAUAUAAAAUUGUAUUAUGCAGGAUACAUGUCUAGCAUUUUACAUGAAAGAGAUGGGGAAAAUAUCUUAGAGUUAGAGGGAUCGACAGAUGGUGCAGCUCUGUUAGAUUGCUAGCGAUUAGUUGUAUAUUUAUCCGACAUUCGUGCCGUUGGACGGUCAAAAGUUGACCAUAAAGAGACCUACGAAAAGCACGGACUAAUAGCCGAAAACUGUGUGACCGGCCUUAAGUAAACUGCCCACCGGCGAAUCUUCUAUCGAGUUUUUUCGACGAUUUUGGCCGCCACAAUGUUCGUUGAAUUUGGCUGAGCAUCUUGCAAGCCCUGCUAUAGUCGGCUUGCUAGCGUGUCACACGUUCCGCCAAAGAACUCGAUGCACUAUAAAUUGGUUCGGUCAAACCAUCACAUUUUUAGCACUCGAGCAGCAUCGAAC